UACGUAGGGGGCAAGCGUUGUCCGGAUUUAUUGGGCGUAAAGAGCGUGUAGGCGGCCAUACAGGUCAGCUGUGAAAACUCGAGGCUCAACCUCGAGACGUCGGUUGAAACCGUAUGGCUAGAGUCCGGAAGAGGAGAGUGGAAUUCCCGGUGUAGCGGUGAAAUGCGCAGGAUAUCGGGAAGAACACCCGUGGCGAAGGCGGCUCUCUGGGACGGUACUGACGCUGAGACGCGAAAGCGUGGGAGCGAACAGG
rnacentral:rRNA from 1 species